GGUGGUAAUUGCAUAGGGG
rnacentral:miRNA from 1 species